GCUCUUUCUUGAUUUUGUGGGUGGUGGUGCAUGGCCGUUCUUAGUUGGUGGAGUGAUUUGUCUGCUUAAUUGCGAUAACGAACGAGACCUUAACCUACUAAAUAGUGCUGCUAGCUUUUGCUGGUAUAGUCACUUCUUAGAGGGACUAUCGAUUUCAAGUCGAUGGAAGUUUGAGGCAAUAACAGGUCUGUGAUGCCCUUAGACGUUCUGGGCCGCACGCGCGCUACACUGACGGAGCCAGCGAGUAUUAACCUUGGCCGAGAGGUCUGGGAAAUCUUGUGAAACUCCGUCGUGCUGGGGAUAGAGCAUUGUAAUUAUUGCUCUUCAACGAGGAAUUCCUAGUAAGCGCAAGUCAUCAGCUUGCGUUGAUUACGUCCCUGCCCUUUGUACACACCGCCCGUCGCUACUACCGAUUGAAUGGCUUAGUGAGGCCUCCGGAUUGGUUUAAAGAAGGGGGCAACUCCAUCUUGGAACCGAAAAGCUGGUCAAACUUGGUCAUUUAGAGGAAGUAAAAGUCGUAACAAGGUUU
rnacentral:rRNA from 1 species